rnacentral:rRNA from 1 species
GUGAGUAAGCUCCUUCAUUGGGGUUGAAAACGCCAACGUGUUAACCAUACGCAUACGGGUCGACCACCGAUGUUACUGUGAACAAAUCAGUGUGUCCAAAGCAGGCGUUCGCCUUGAAUGAUAAAGCAUGGAAUAACAAGGGAUCGAUUCUCUCGAGUCCUUUUGUUGGUUUUUAACUCGAGAAGGAGUAAUUCGAGCUACGGUCUGACUCAAGCGUUCUUCGGAGCCUUUGAACUCGGACCGUGGCCCUGCGGGAUCAAUAGGGACUGCCGGGGUCGUACGUACUCCCACGUCAGAGGUGAAAUUCUUAGAUCGUGGGAAGACGAACUUCUGCGAAAGCAUUCGACAAGAAUGUCUUCAUUAAUCAAGAACGAGAGUGUGGGGAUCGAAGAUGAUCAGAUACCGUCGUAGUCCACUACUGUAAACGAUGCCGUCUCAGGAUCGAGAGGUGUUCCAACAUGACCCUCACGGCACUAACCCCUGAAACGAGAAAUCAAAGAUUAU